CUCUCUAGGCGUCGCUCUCUUGGUGUGCUUGUUCUUGACCCGGUCAAUGAUUUCAGGUACUUUGUUGAUGGAGGUACGUUCACUCUGAGGCUAGCUUAGUGCUUGUCCUGUGCUUUCUGCUCCAUGUGAAAGAAGAGAAUCAGCGAGGGCACCUACUGAAUAGUUACUAUAUACAGCCUCGGCCAUUAGAAGCUGGGGCAAGCUUUUCUGCCUAUUUACUCUGGUAAAUACAUUUCUUUUGUCUAGAUUUGAGAACCUUCAGCAUGGUUCUCAUUUUUUGAGGUCCCAACAGGUUUCCCCCAGACCAUAUUAUAUAAACCAUAUAUGUCAUUUUUCUGUUCCCACAUUCUCUGUAAGAUUAUUGUCAUAAGUUAAAAUCUGAAUUAAAGCAUUUGAAUGUC
ensembl:processed_transcript Snhg3 small nucleolar RNA host gene 3